rnacentral:rRNA from 1 species
UACGUAGGGCGCAAGCGUUAUCCGGAAUUAUUGGGCGUAAAGAGCUCGUAGGCGGUUUGUCGCGUCUGCCGUGAAAGUCCGGGGCUCAACUCCGGAUCUGCAGCUGAUACGGGCAGGCUUGAGUUCGGUAGGGGAGACUGGAAUUCCUGGUGUAGCGGUGAAAUGCGCAGAUAUCAGGAGGAACACCAACGGCGAAGGCAGCUCGCUGGGACGGAACUGACGCUAAGGCGCGAAAGCGUGGGGAGCGAACAGG